rnacentral:rRNA from 1 species
CCUACGGGUGGCAGCAGUGAGGAAUAUUGGUCAAUGGACGAGAGUCUGAACCAGCCAAGUAGCGUGAAGGAUGACUGCCCUAUGGGUUGUAAACUUCUUUUAUAUGGGAAUAAAAUGUUCCACGUGUGGGAUUUUGUAUGUACCAUAUGAAUAAGGAUCGGCUAACUCCGUGCCAGCAGCCGCGGUAAUACGGAGGAUCCGAACGUUAUCCGGAUUUAUUGGGUUUAAAGGGAGCGUAGGUGGAUUUUUAAGUCAGUUGUGAAAGUUUGCGGCUCAACCGUCAAAUUGCAGUUGAGACUGGCAGUCUAGAGUACAGUAGAGGUGGGCGGAAUUCGUGGUGUAGCGGUGAAAUGCUUAGAUAUCACGAAGAACUCCGAUUGCGAAGGCAGUUCACUGGACUGCAACUGACACUGAGGCUCGAAAGUGUGGGUAUCGAACAGGAUUAGAUACCCUUGUAGUC